rnacentral:rRNA from 1 species
AGUGAACGCUGGCGGUAGGCCUAACACAUGCAAGUCGAACGGCAGCACAGUAAGAGCUUGCUCUUACGGGUGGCGAGUGGCGGACGGGUGAGGAAUACAUCGGAAUCUACUUUUUCGUGGGGGAUAACGUAGGGAAACUUACGCUAAUACCGCAUACGACCUACGGGUGGAAGCAGGGGAUCUUCGGACCUUGCGCGAUUGAAUGAGCCGAUGUCGGAUUAGCUAGUUGGCGGGGUAAAGGCCUACCAAGGCGACGAUCCGUAGCUGGUCUGAGAGGAUGAUCAGCCACACUGGAACUGAGACACGGUCCAGACUCCUACGGGAGGCAGCAGUGGGGAAUAUUGGACAAUGGGCGCAAGCCUGAUCCAGCCAUACCGCGUGGGUGAAGAAGGCCUUCGGGUUGUAAAGCCCUUUUGUUGGGAAAGAAAAGCAGCAGGUUAAUACCCCGCUGUUCUGACGGUACCCAAAGAAUAAGCACCGGCUAACUUCGUG